rnacentral:lncRNA from 1 species
GUGAAAUGUAAGUGCCAUAUCCUGUGUUAUAGUGUUUCAGUACAGUUGUUUAACUGUGUUUACUAAUGCGCAAAACAAUGGUUUAACAGCAGCAGAACAACGCAAUAGGAUAGUCAAUUUUCAAUUUAUUGACCCUAUUUCCAGUUUUUAAACUUUUCCUGUCUGUUGUUAUGAAUGACGUUGUGAUUCCCGAUACUUGUGUUUGUAAGCAAUGGAAAUGGUAGCGGACGUAAAUGAGUUUUAAUGAUUUUAAAGUUCAGUCUUAAUGACUCUUGGCUUUUAGCCUCAGUCUAGUGUUGGUUGGUUCUACACACAACUAAUUCUUGUAAAGUGUGAAUGUUUGUAUAUUUUACUGUUUGUGUUAAUAAUCUUGUAGUAUCACUUGAAUCAUUUGUUGGUUUAUUUUGAACGAGAUUGCCC